rnacentral:rRNA from 1 species
GACGAACGCUGGCGGCGUGCCUAAUACAUGCAAGUAGAACGCUGACGGAGGAGCUUGCUCUUCUGGAUGAGUUGCGAACGGGUGAGUAACGCGUAGGUAACCUGCCUGGUAGCGGGGGAUAACUAUUGGAAACGAUAGCUAAUACCGCAUAACAGUAGAUGUUGCAUGACAUUUACUUGAACGUUGCAAUUGCAUCACUACCAGAUGGACCUGCGUUGUAUUGUCUAGUUGGUGGGGUAACGGCUCACCAAGGCGACGAUACAUAGCCGACCUGAGAGGGGGGUUGGCCACACUGGGACUGAGACACGGCCCAGUAUCCUACGGGGAGGAGCAAGAGGGAAUCUUGGGAAAUGGGCGGAAGGCUGGACGAGAAACGCCGCGUGAGUGAAGAAGGGUUUCGGAUCGUAAAGCUCUGUUGUAAGAGAAGAACGAGUGUGAGAGUGGAAAGUUCACACUGUGACGGUAUCUUACCAGAAAGGGACGGCUAACUACGUG